ACAUCUUGGAGAGUUGGGACACUUUCGCAGAGGUAAUGAGUCGUUUUGAGAAUUUUUCAUAGAUUAUUUCGAUAAUUUUGGAUAUUUCUGCUCGUAUGAAGUAACUAUUAGCGGUUUUUUCAUAGAGUUUUAAAUUAUUUGGGGGUGCACAUGCACAUGGAUAAAUAUGUGUAGUACUUGGAGGUUAUAUGACCACGUGCACAUUUUUUCUGUUAAGAUUUUUAUGGAUUUUUGAGGGUUGAAGGGAAAAUUUUGUCAUAAUUAGUAAUUAAUAGAUGAAAAGAAAUUUUGGGUGAUUUCAUUUUGAAUUUUGAGUGUCGCGAGGGGCUCGAGAGGGUUGGGAGGCCGUUGCAUCGUGGACUAAAGAUUUUUUGGCAUUUUUCACAUUCCAAAAACCGAAAUUACGAGGGGAUGACGAAUAUUCUACAAAUACAAAUUCAUGAAAUUUUUUUCUUUCUCUCUUUUUAUGAAUAUCUCGAGAAUUAAAAUGGAGAGCAGCUCGAAAAUUGUCUCAUUGGAAAGCCAGGAAAAAUUCCGAUUCCAAACCCUGGUCAUAAACCCAUUUUGCCCCAUUGGUUCCCAACAUAUCGUUGAAAAACGUUUCUCGCUUGAAAAACGAAUUUCGUGAGUUUAUUGAUAUACAAUGGGGCAAAAUGGGUUGAUGACCAGUGCUUGGAAUCAGACAUUUUUCGGAGUAUCUCAUGGGGUCAUUAUAGACCCCAUAUUCGGGAUACUCAUGAAAAUGAGUCAAGAAACGAAUGAGUGAAUCUCCAAAUCAUGAAAUAAAUAGUGAAAAUUUUUUGGCAUUUUUCACAUUCCAAAAACCGAAAUUACGAGGGGAUGACGAAUAUUCUACAAAAACAAAUUCAUGAAAUUUUUUUCUUUCUCUCUUUUUAUGAAUAUCUCGAGAAUUAAAAUGGAGAGCAGCUCGAAAAUUGUCUCAUUGGAAAGCCAGGAAAAAUUCCGAUUCCAAACCCUGGUCAUAAACCCAUUUUGCCCCAUUGGUUCCCAACAUAUCGUUGAAAAACGUUUCUCGCUUGAAAAACGAAUUUCGUGAGUUUAUUGAUAUACAAUGGGGCAAAAUGGGUUGAUGACCAGUGCUUGGAAUCAGAAAUUUUUCGGAGUAUCUCAUGGGGUCAUUAUAGACCCCACAUUCGGGAUACUCAUGAAAAUGAGUCAAGAAACGAAUGAGUGAAUCUCCAAAUCAUGAAAAAAAUAGUGAAAAUUUUUUGGCAUUUUUCACAUUCCAAAAACCGAAAUUACGAGGGGAUGACGAAUAUUCUACAAAAACAAAUUCAUGAAAUUUUUUUCUUUCUCUCUUUUUAUGAAUAUCUCGAGAAUUAAAAUGGAGAGCAGCUCGAAAAUUGUCUCAUUGGAAAGCCAGGAAAAAUUCCGAUUCCAAACCCUGGUCAUAAACCCAUUUUGCCCCAUUGGUUCCCAACAUAUCGUUGAAAAACGUUUCUCGCUUGAAAAACGAAUUUCGUGAGUUUAUUGAUAUACAAUGGGGCAAAAUGGGUUGAUGACCAGUGCUUGGAAUCAGACAUUUUUCGGAGUAUCUCACGGGUUCAUUAUAGACCCCAUAUUCGGGAUACUCAUGAAAAUGAGUCAAGAAACGAAUGAGUGAAUCUCCAAAUCAUCAAAUAAAUAGUGAAAAUUUUUCCGGAUUUUCCAAAUUCCAAAAACCGCGACUGAGGGAAUGAAAAUUUUGUGGGGAAAUUAGAUCAUGAAUUCCUCUUCUUUUCUAUUUCCUUGGAUAUCUCGAGAACUGGAGGAGAUAAGAGGCUGAAAAAUCGUUUUAUUGGAAAUCCAGGGGAAUUUUCGAUUCCAAACUUUAACCCAAUUUAGUUUAAUAGUUUGAUGAUACACGUUGAAAAUUAGUUUUUGAGGGCCAAAUCGUUUUCUUUGUCUUUGUCCUAAUUCCUUGUCCAAUGAAUUACAGCAACAAUUUUUUUAAUUUCUUGAAUUCUCCAUUGAUUGAACACUGAAAUCAUUGUAGCAAAAUUUUUAAGCUGGUCUAAUGGCCAUAAUUAUUUCUCGCAAUACUCAUGUCAUAGGGUUUUUCAUUUUUUUCACUUUUCCCUAUAUUAUUGCCAGUCAUUCUAUUUUGUAACACAACCUCACGUUACCUGAAUAAAACAAAUUUCUUGAUAUUUGUAAGUAAAACCUCAAGGGCUGAGACUACGAUUCAGAACCCCAUCAACUUGUAUAUAGAUGUAUAUAUGUUAAACUGACAAAUUAUGCUGAACAAACGUCUUUAAAUUUCUUUAUCUAUCUCAGGAACGUGAGGUGAUGAGGACUUUAAAAAAAAUCAAUUUCAUACCUCUGGUAAUUCUCAAGGUAUUCAUAAAAAUAGAUUAAAAAUAGAAUUCAUGAAUCUCCGAGCCAUCAAAAAACUGUAAAAACUUCAGAACGAGUGGAUGACCUUCCUAUGAUUCUAAAAUCCCACAUUUUUUUUAAAAUACGACCUGUAUUUUUCUAGUUAAUAAAGUUGAAAAAAUGACU